GUUCAUCUAGUCCAACUCUCUGCACGAAGCAUUUACAAUUAGAUGGUGUUCACACCCUUUCCCAGCAGCUCCAAUUGCCAGACAAUGUUGAAGGUCUGAUGUCAAGCCAUGAAGCAGAGGCUACAGGCCAGAAUCUAGCCAUGGAACAGGUGCUGACAAAAAAGCAAGCUUGAGGGCCUCAGCUCCCAAGAUAAGAGACAGCAUGAAUUCCAGGCUCUACCUGAAUUCCUGUGCUCAAUCUCAGGUAAUCACUUAAUACAAAAACAGGCCAUGCUGAAUUAGAACAUCUCAGGAAAGAGAAAGGCUUUUUUCCUCUGUCUCAAUCCUGAAUUCCAGUCCCCACCUACAUUCUGAAGUCAGGCAGACUUGGUUUGAAUAUGGACUGCAUUAAAUUUGGGGCAAUUGUUCUUCUCUGAUGAAGGUGCAGUGAGAGGAGAGUUUUCUUUUCCUAGCAGUGGAAGGUGAAGAAAUAAGAGCUGGCCAGUGAAUCUGUCUGUUCCACAUUUGGGGGAAUAUAUUAGAGUCCCCAGCCUUCCAGAUACUGUGCUGUCUACUUUAUUUCCUAGCUGUUUUCCUGUGCCCUCUCAUGCUAUUAAAUGUUUCUGACUCUGUGACUUGGAAAGAAUCUAGGAGAUGGGAUGAAGACAAAACUGAAGUUUAAGCAGUUUAAGAGUCUUUAUGAUAACUUGGCCAUUCUCAGACUGAAGGCUUAUGACAGAGGCAUCAGCUUCCUCCAUAGAUGUUGUGGUCAGAAGAGGCCAUUGUAUGCUUCCGUUCGGAUCCAUAUGAACCAGAGAUUCUUGCUCAGCAUUGCCGUAGUUAUUGAGCAGAACUACUGUGCUCAUUGGCUCAUUUUGGCAUCUACAAGGACAUUAUAUGCUCUAGGAGGAGCCUCUCUUGAUAUAGUGCAACCUAAAAGCUCUGACUGGUACUUCCUAGCAAAUCUCAGUGUGAGAGAUGACGAGGGCUGUGUUUAAUUUAUCAGCCUGUGAACCAUACGGUGUAGGGACCAGCACACGUUCACUGCUGCCAUUCCCACAAUCAAUAACACCCAGAAAAGGGCUCAUGGAUGCUGGUGACCUGAGAGAUUUAAAUGCCUCCAGCUUCCUUCAUCAAAAGAUUAGGACCAGAGACAAAAUUCUUACAUUAGAGUUAAUGAGAAGAACGAAAGACCCUUUGGGACAUGUUGGUCCAAAAACUGCAAUUCAUCUUUGCCCACUGAGAGAGCAGGCAAUGCUGGAGAAUAUAAAAUGGUAGAAUUGUUAAGGCUGAAAAAGACCUUUAAGAUUGAG